rnacentral:lncRNA from 1 species
CGAUGCCUUGCUGGAAGUUUGUUUUGGCUGUGCGGGCUUGAAUGAUUCUAAAUAUCCUGCUUUGAGCGCUGCUGUUGGGUGCUUUGAGGGGACCUCAAGUAAGCUCCGUUUUUGAAACAUGGCUACAAUUGGGAAGACCAUCAUAUUGAAGAACAUUGUCAAAAUUCUAGAAGACAUGAAAGGCAUGAAAGAAGUCAUAUUGGAGAGAAACCCUAUGAACGUAAUCAAUGUGGUAAAGCCUUUGCAUGUUACAAUCAUCUCCAAAUACAUAAGAGAACACAUACCGGACAGAAACCUUAUGAAUGUAAUCAAUGUGGUAAAGCCUUUUCACGACAGAGUAAUCUCCAAUAUCAUAAAAGAACACAUACUGGAGAGAAAACUUAUGAAUGUAAUCAAUGUGGUAAAGCUUUUGUAAGACCCAGUCAACUCCAAACACAUAAAAGAACACAUUCUGGAGAGAAACCCUAUGAAUGUAAUCAAUGUGGUAAAACCUUUUCACGACAGAGUAGUCUCCAAUAUCAUAAAAGAACACAUACUGGAGAGAAAACUUGUGAAUGUAAUCAAUGUGGUAAAGCUUUUGUAAGACCCAGUCAACUCCAAACACAUAAAAGAACACAUUCUGGAGAGAAACCCUAUGAAUGUAAUCAAUGUGGUAAAACCUUUUCACGACAGAGUAGUCUCCAAUAUCAUAAAAGAACACAUACUGGAGAGAAAACUUGUGAAUGUAAUCAAUGUGGUAAAGCUUUUGUAAGACCCAGUCAACUCCAAACACAUAAAAGAACACAUUCUGGAGAGAAA